AUAUUUUGACAAACGCUGCAUUUUUUAUAGUGUAGAGGAAAGUCCAUGCUCACAAAGUCUGUGAUGACUUUAGUGUUCGUGCAUAGGGAAAAAAUAACCUAUGGUAGUCUUUUAGACUAACGGCGCUGAUGAACCUAAGUCUUUAGAUAUGGUUCUAGGCAUAAAGUGCCAUAGAGACGAGUUGUUCAGAAAUGAACAAAGUGGAACGUGGUAAACCCCGCGAGUGAGAAACCCAAAUUUGGUAGGGGAACCUGAUAAAAGAGAAUAAGAAUCUUUUAUGGGAUUGCUUUUAGCAAUAGAUAGAUGUUUGUCACCUAGUAAUAGGAACAGAACAUGGCUUAUAAAA
rnacentral:RNase_P_RNA from 1 species